rnacentral:rRNA from 1 species
UACAGAGGCCUCGAGCGUUGUUCGGAAUUACUGGGCGUAAAGCGAGUGUAGGUGGUGACGUAAGUCAGAUGUGAAAGCCCCGGGCUUAACCCGGGAAUUGCAUUUGAUACUGCGUUGCUAGAGUGUGAUAGAGGAGAGCGGAAUUCCCGGUGUAGGGGUGAAAUCCGUAGAUAUCGGGAGGAAUACCAAUGGCGAAGGCAGCUCUCUGGUUCGCAACUGACACUGAGACUCGAAAGCAUGGGUAGCAAACAGG